rnacentral:rRNA from 1 species
UACGAAGGGGGCGAGCGUUGUUCGGAUUUACUGGGCGUAAAGGGCGCGCAGGCGGCGCAUUUUGUCAGGCAUGAAAGCCCCGGGCUUAACCUGGGAACUGCGUUUGAUACGGAUGGGCUAGAGUUCGGGAGAGGAGAGUGGAAUUCCCAGUGUAGAGGUGAAAUUCGUAGAUAUUGGGAAGAACACCGGUGGCGAAGGCGGCUCUCUGGACCGAGACUGACGCUGAGGCGCGAAAGCGUGGGGAGCAAACAGG